rnacentral:rRNA from 1 species
AUGGUUAAGUUAGAAAGGGCGCACGGUGAAUGCCUUGGCACUAGGAGCCGAUGAAGGACGGGACUAACACCGAUAUGCUUCGGGGAGCUGUAAGUGAGCUUUGAUCCGGAGAUUUCCGAAUGGGGAAACCCACUGUUCGUAAUGGAACAGUAUCUUUAUCUGAAUACAUAGGAUAUUGAAGGCAGACCCGGGGAACUGAAACAUCUAAGUACCCGGAGGAAGAGAAAGCAAAUGCGAUUUCCUGAGUAGCGGCGAGCGAAACGGAAUUAGCCCAAACCAAGAGGCUUGCCUCUUGGGGUUGUAGGACACUCUAUACGGAGUUACAAAGGAACGAAGUAAAUGAAGCGACCUGGAAAGGUCCGUCGAAGAAGGUAACAACCCUGUAGUUGAAACUUCGUUCCCUCUUGAGUGGAUCCUGAGUACGGCGGAACACGUGAAAUUCCGUCGGAAGCUGGGAGGACCAUCUCCCAAGGCUAAAUACUACCUAGUGACCGAUAGUGAACCAGUACCGUGAGGGAAAGGUGAAAAGCACCCCGGAAGGGGAGUGAAAGAGAUCCUGAAACCGUGUGCCUACAAGUAGUCAGAGCCCGUUAACGGGUGAUGGCGUGCCUUUUGUAGAAUGAACCGGCGAGUUACGAUCCCAUGCAAGGUUAAGCUGAUAAGGCGGAGCCGUAGCGAAAGCGAGUCUGAAUAGGGCGUUUAGUAUGUGGUUGUAGACCCGAAACCAGGUGAUCUACCCAUGUCCAGGGUGAAGUUCAGGUAACACUGAAUGGAGGCCCGAACCCACGCACGUUGAAAAGUGCGGGGAUGAGGUGUGGGUAGCGGAGAAAUUCCAAUCGAACCUGGAGAUAGCUGGUUCUCUCCGAAAUAGCUUUAGGGCUAGCCUCAUGUUGUGAGAGUCUUGGAGGUAGAGCACUGAUUGGACUAGGGGCCCCCAACGGGUUACCGAAUUCAGUCAAACUCCGAAUGCCAAAGACUUAUCCAUGGGAGUCAGACUGCGAGUGAUAAGAUCCGUAGUCAAAAGGGAAACAGCCCAGACCACCAGCUAAGGUCCCCAAGUAUACGUUAAGUGGAAAAGGAUGUGGAGUUGCUUAGACAACCAGGAUGUUGGCUUAGAAGCAGCCACCAUUUAAAGAGUGCGUAAUAGCUCACUGGUCGAGUGACUCUGCGCCGAAAAUGUACCGGGGCUAAACGUAUCACCGAAGCUGUGGAUUGACAUCUUUGAUGUCAGUGGUAGGAGAGCGUUCUAAGUGCAGCGAAGUCAGACCGUAAGGACUGGUGGAGCGCUUAGAAGUGAGAAUGCCGGUAUGAGUAGCGAAAGACAAGUGAGAAUCUUGUCCACCGAAUGCCUAAGGUUUCCUGAGGAAGGCUCGUCCGCUCAGGGUUAGUCGGGACCUAAGCCGAGGCUGAAAAGCGUAGGCGAUGGCCAACAGGUUGAUAUUCCUGUACCACCUCCCCGCCGUUUGAGUAAUGGGGGGACGCAGUAGGAUAGGGUAAGCGCGCUGCUGGAUAUGCGCGUUCAAGCAGUUAGGCUGAUGAGUAGGCAAAUCCGCUCAUCAUAAAGGCUGAGCUGUGAUGACGAGGGAAUUAUAGUACCGAAGUUCCUGAUUCCACACUGCCAAGAAAAGCCUCUAGCGAGGCGGGAGGUGCCCGUACCGCAAACCGACACAGGUAGGCGAGGAGAGAAUCCUAAGGUGAUCGAGAGAACUCUCGUUAAGGAACUCGGCAAAAUGACCCCGUAACUUCGGGAGAAGGGGUGCUCUGGUAGGGUGUAUAGCCCGAGAGAGCCGCAGUGAAUAGGCCCAGGCGACUGUUUAGCAAAAACACAGGUCUCUGCGAAGCCGCAAGGCGAAGUAUAGGGGCUGACGCCUGCCCGGUGCUGGAAGGUUAAGAGGAGGGGUUAUCCUUUGGGAGAAGCUCUGAAUCGAAGCCCCAGUAAACGGCGGCCGUAACUAUAACGGUCCUAAGGUAGCGAAAUUCCUUGUCGGGUAAGUUCCGACCCGCACGAAAGGCGUAACGAUCUGGGCACUGUCUCAACGAGAGACUCGGUGAAAUUAUAGUACCUGUGAAGAUGCAGGUUACCCGCGACAGGACGGAAAGACCCCGUGGAGCUUUACUGUAGCCUGAUAUUGAAUUUUGGUACAGCUUGUACAGGAUAGGUAGGAGCCUGAGAAGCCGGAGCGCUAGCUUCGGUGGAGGCGUCGGUGGGAUACUACCCUGGCUGUAUUGAAAUUCUAACCCGCGGCCCUGAUCGGGCCGGGAGACAGUGUCAGGUGGGCAGUUUGACUGGGGCGGUCGCCUCCUAAAAUGUAACGGAGGCGCCCAAAGGUUCCCUCAGAAUGGUUGGAAAUCAUUCGUAGAGUGUAAAGGCACAAGGGAGCUUGACUGCGAGACCUACAAGUCGAGCAGGGACGAAAGUCGGGCUUAGUGAUCCGGUGGUUCCGCAUGGAAGGGCCAUCGCUCAACGGAUAAAAGCUACCCCGGGGAUAACAGGCUUAUCUCCCCCAAGAGUCCACAUCGACGGGGAGGUUUGGCACCUCGAUGUCGGCUCAUCGCAUCCUGGGGCUGUAGUCGGUCCCAAGGGUUGGGCUGUUCGCCCAUUAAAGCGGUACGCGAGCUGGGUUCAGAACGUCGUGAGACAGUUCGGUCCCUAUCCGUCGUGGGCGUAGGAAAUUUGAGAGGAGCUGUCCUUAGUACGAGAGGACCGGGAUGGACACACCGCUGGUGUACCAGUUGUCUUGCCAAAGGCAUCGCUGGGUAGCUAUGUGUGGACGGGAUAAGUGCUGAAAGCAUCUAAGCAUGAAGCCCCCCUCAAGAUGAGAUUUCCCAUAGCGCAAGCUAGUAAGAUCCCUGAAAGAUGAUCAGGUUGAUAGGUCAGAGGUGGAAGCAUGGCGACAUGUGUAGCUGACUGAUACUAAUCGAUCGAGGACUUAACCAAA